GACUAAGCACAUUUAGUGUGUGUGAACCAAGCCCAAACACAAGUGAAUAUAAAUAAGUGGUAUGCUUUGUGAAUUAGGGUAAGAAAAUCAUUUGCAAACUUUAUGAGAAAGAGGCAAGAGAGAAGAAAAGUGGAUCUGCAGAGAAAUGGGAGGAAGCUCUAGAACCAAAAAGAAGAGGAAGAUUCAAGCUUGUUGAAGUCUAGCUAUGAAGAUUAAGAGGUACCAUGUUAUAUUAUUUUCGCCGAACAAAUGGGUAGAAAAAGGGUUUUGUGUGAUUCUUGUUAUUUUGUUAACUUUGUGCAGAAUUGAUGAUGAAUUAAUGUUGAAUUUAUGUUCUGGUAUAUUUGUAUGAUUAUAGAUAUAUAAUUAAUUGAGAAUCCAUGAUGUUGUGAUGAUAAUUCCAUGAUUUGAAUAUUUGGGUAUAGUGUUCUUGAGUUCUAUGUUGAAAUUGAUGACUUACAUGAAGUUGUUGCAUAAUUGAUGUUUGAUAUGUGUAUUUGAUUGUGGAGAUAUGCAUGAGUUUAAAUAUUAGAGAAAUUUGUUGUUUUGAUUAUGAAGAUGAGAGAGUGUUUUUUUUUUUUUUGACAAGAUGAAGAUGAGACAAUGUUGUUGUUGUUGUUAUCAUGUUUAAGGGUAGAAUUAAAAAAAAAAAAAAUUUAUUGUCAAAACUAUUUUUUUUUUUUUUUUUGUGGUGGCCGGAAUUAGAACCCCAGAUCUUGCAUAUUUUUUGCAUUGUCCAUACCAAUUGACUAAACUCACGAGGACAAAAAACUAUAUUUUUUAAUCAUACAAUUUAGUUGUUGUUUAAAUUACAAAAAAAAUUAAAUCAAAUUUAUAUUUUACGAAUUUCUUAUUUAAUGCAAUUAUUUAAUAAGAUUGUCAUAGGUACAGAUUCAUUGUAUUUUAUAUAGAUUUGUUAAAUUUUAUUUUUUAUUUUUUUGGACUUUUUUUUCUAUCAAGAUCUUUCCUUCCAUUAAGAUUUUGUUUCAGUUUUUGGUCAAGAUCUUUUCUUUAAAGAUAAUUAUUUCCUCCAUUAUUUUAGCCCAACAUUGGAUGAAUGUCUGUCUAUUAAUAUCAAGCAAAAACCGAUUCAAGAGAAAAUAACUUAAGCCAAGAGAGGUUUGAUAUUGGUAGUUAUCAUGUAUGGAUAAUAAUGCGUUUGUUAAAUUCUUAGAUCUAAUCAGGAGAAACUACAUGGCUUUUUGAAAACAAUGGGUAGAGUUAGAAACAUGGAGAAUCCUUGAUUAUUUGGUUUGUUUGAGAAAGAUCCAAAAAAAACUUUCAAGUCAUGAAAGUUUUUCUUAAGGUAUGACACCUUUUUCUUGAAUUGAUUUAAGUCUUUCUCUAUAUGUGAUAAUGUUUGAUUUGACUUCUUUGUAUUUGAAUUAUACCAUUCUCGGUGGUUGUAAAUGGCGCAUAACGAUAAAUUUGAAAAUAACAUUGUUCUUGUAUCCAUUGUAAAAAUGUACGUAUUGUUUAAAAAACAGAACAAAUAAUGUUUAACCUUAGUUGUCAUUUUACAAUUAUAGAUUAUAGAUUCUCAUUAUAAAUUGUACAUUUAGCAAUAGAUUAUUUUUUCUAGAUGAUAUAUUUUUAGAACCUUUUUUAAUUGGAUUAGAGAUGAUAAUAUUUGAUGAAAGUCAAUUGGUAAACCUUGGUCAUUUUUAAUGGUUUAUUUGUAAAGAUUAAAUGAUCAAUUUUAUUUUGUUUAAUUGUAUAAAUAGAUUGAUACAUCUUAUAUAUCUUUGAAACAUGUAUGAUUUCUAGUUAAUAAUAAAAUUUAAGAUGAAUGUUUGGUUUUAUUGGCUUGGAAUCUUGGAGUUUGUUCCUCUCAAGGUCUCAGGUUCGAAUCUCUCUCAAGUGUCAAUUUCGUUGGGUUAGCUUGACUUCUUCAGAAAAUUAAGAAAAAGGUCGUACCGGUUAUUGAAGAUGACAUAAGGCAGGAAACAGUUCCCAGCACCUCGGUUCAUGUCUUGGAGAAAAUUUCCGAAUCUACAGAGACACAGGAAGGUGACACUAUUGCAACAGCUCAGCCUCUCUUUACUGAUGUCAUAGAAUUAAAAGUACGUACUCAGACAAAUAACGCAAAAAAUGAAAAUAGUUCAGACCAGAAUGUUGAUCUCACUGCCCCUGUGCGUGUAGCACAUGUUCAUCACCAAGAGAUUCUGAUUUCAAAGAAUGUCUAGAGUGACUUGCACCUUUGUGCACAGAUUCGUGAAUAUGAUAAACGGAUGGCAGAGGAAGGAUUCCGGGAAGUACUAUCCAAAAAGCAGCAAAAAUAAGUAAAAAGACAAGUCUUACGAAAGGUUUCGUACAACACACGGGCAAAGGGGUAAGAAAAUCAUUUGCAAACUUUAUGAGAAAGAGGCAAGAGAGAAGAAAAGUGGAUCUGCAGAGAAAGGGGAGGAAACUCCAGAACCAAAAAGAAGAGGAAGAUUCAAGCUUGUCGAAGUCUAGCUAUGAAGAUUAAGAGGUACGAUGUUAUAUUAUUUUCACCCGACAAAUGGGUAGAAAAGGAGUUUUGUGUUAUUCUUGCUAUUUUAUUAACUUUGUGCAGAAUUGAUGAUGAAUUGAUGUUAAAUUUAAGUUCUGGUAUAUUUGUAUGAUUAUAGAUAUAUGAUUAAUUGAGAAUCCAUGAUGUUGUGAUGAUAAUUCCAUGAUUUGAAUAUUUAGGUACUGUGUUCUUGAGUUCUAUGUUGAAAUUGAUGACUUACAUGAAGUUGUUGCAUAAUGAUGUUUGAUGUGUGUAUUUGAUUGUGGAGAUAUGCAUGAGUUUAAAGAUUAGAGAAUUUUGUUGUUUUGAUUAUGAAGA